rnacentral:ncRNA from 1 species
UAGACAACAGGUUUGGUCUUGGCCUUUUUAUUAGUUGUCUGCAGAAUUAUACAUGCAAAAAUCCCUGUGCCGGUGAGAAUGCCCUCUGUACCACACUCCAGGUUUAAAGGAGCGGGCAUCAAGCACACUACAAAGUAGCUCACGACGCUUUGCUUUGCCACACCCCUACGGGAACAGCAGUAAUAAAAAUUAAGCAAUAAACGAAAGUUUGACUAAGUCAUGCAGCUAUUAGGGUUGGUAAAUCUCGUGCCAGCCACUGCGGUCAUACGAUUAACCCUAAUUAAUAAAACCCGGCGUAAAAAGUGUUUAAGAGUCAUAAAAAAUAGGACUAAGCUUUAUCUAAGUUGUAGAAAACUCUAGACAUAGUAGAAAUCAAAAACGAAAAUAAUCUUAACAAAUCUGAGCACAGGAAAGCUAAGGCCCAAACUGGGAUUAGAUACCCCACUAUGCUUAGUCGUAAACAUAAAAACUUACACAACAAAAGGUUUCGCCUGAGAACUACUAGCAAUAGCUUAAAACUCAAAGGACUUGGCGAUGCUUUAUACCCGCCUAGAGGAGCCUGUUCUAUAAUCGAUAAACCCCGAUACACCUCACCUGUCCUUGCUAAUUCGGCCUACAUACACCAUCUUCAGCGAACCCAAUCAUGGAAAGAAAGUAAGCGCAAGUACACUGCAUAAAAACGUUAGGUCAAGGUGUAGCCAAUGAGUGGGAAGAAGUGGGCUACAUUUUCUUAUCGAAGAACAACAAACGCAAGUCUUUAUGAAAUUUAGAGACCUAAGGAGGAUUUAGUAGUAAAUCAAGAAUAGAGAGCUUGGUUGAACUAGGCCAUGAAGCUUGUACACACCGCCCUUCACCCUCCUCAAGUAUCCAAGAGUUUUAUAUAAACUAACAAAUAUAAGAGGAGACAAGUCGUAACAUGGUAAGCAUACUGGAAAGUGUGUUUGGAAACAAAGUGUA